UCCAAAACUUUACAAAAAUCAUGUUUUUACAUUGGCCUUCCCGGCAUCUUAAUUCUCUUAUCCUGCUAUGUUUGUAAAUAAGUGUUUGUCUUUUGAUGUCGUUUUAGCCUAAAUCACUGAUUUGUAAGUGUAUUUUAUUUUUAUUUUAUGACCCUGUGGCUAAUGCGCUAUGUACAGCACUUUGGUCAGCACGAGCUGUUUUUAAAUGUGCUAUAGAAAUAAACUUUACUUA